rnacentral:rRNA from 1 species
AUUGAACGCUGGCGGCAUGCCUUACACAUGCAAGUCGAACGGCAGCGCGGGAGCAAUCCUGGCGGCGAGUGGCGAACGGGUGAGUAAUAUAUCGGAACGUGCCCUGGAGUGGGGGAUAACUAGUCGAAAGACUAGCUAAUACCGCAUACGAUCGACGGAUGAACGUGGGGGAUCGCAAGACCUCAUGCUCGUGGAGCGGCCGAUAUCUGAUUAGCUGGUUGGUGGGGUAAAGGCCUACCAAGGCGACGAUCAGUAGCUGGUCUGAGAGGACGGCCAGCCACACUGGGACUGAGACGCGGACCAGACUCCUGCGGGAGGCAGCAGUGGCGAAUUUUGGACAAUGGGGGCAACCCUGCUCCAGCAAUGCCGCGUGUGUGAAGAAGGCCUUCGGGUUGUAAAGCACUUUUGUUCGGAAAGAAAUGGUCCUGGCUAAUAUCUGAGAUGGAUGACGGUACCGGAAGAAUAAGCACCGGCUAACUACGUGCCAGCCGCCGCGGUAACAC